rnacentral:lncRNA from 1 species
UGAUACCUCUUCUUUUGCAGGGAGGUACAAACUGCACUACGGAUAAGUCGGUCUUGGGAAGAGAGUUUGAACCUGGUGAAAUGCUAUUUGAAGAUCAGCCAAAGAAACUUUUCCAAGGCACUACCAGCAUGAUUUCUUCCGAUACUACUCAACAGUCUGAUAUGAAUGAAUAGGAGAAGAAUGGGGCUAGUCAGAUAUAGAAUCUUCCCAGUCUGCUCAAGGCUUCGCCAACCAAAGAGCCUCCGUCUGACACAUCAGAUCUGUAAAAUAAAAAAGAGGGCACCUUCAUUCUCUGACGUUGUUUCCCGCCAGUGAUAAAAAGGAAAAGUUUCUCCUUAAGUCUAUAGUUCUAAUUCUCAACAGUUACGGUGUUUCGGGGCAGGGACAUGUGGGGAGGGUUCUCUGAAAAAUGGGAUAAAUUAAAAGCUUUGUGGUCACUUUAAAGGAAUGUCUGAGGGACGCCUGGGUGGCUCAGUGGGUUAAGCGGUUAAGCGUCUGCCUUCAGCUCAGGUCACAAUCCUGGGGUCCUGGGACGGAGCCCCACACUGGGCUCCCUGCUCAUGGGGAACCUGCUUCUCCUUCUGCCUGCUGCUCUCCCUACUUGUUCUCUCUCUCUCUGACAAAUAAAUUUUUUAAAAAAUUUUAGGGGCGCCUGGGU